rnacentral:sRNA from 1 species
CCGUGCUGCCCUCCUUGGGCGUUUCCUCCCUAGACUUCGGGCCGCUCGCGAGGGCGGCCUUUCUUUUGUCCAGG